rnacentral:rRNA from 1 species
AUUGAACGCUGGCGGCAGGCCUAACACAUGCAAGUCGAACGAGUGGCGGACGGGUGAGUAAUGUCUGGGAAACUGCCUGAUGGAGGGGGAUAACUACUGGAAACGGUAGCUAAUACCGCAUACCAUCAGAUGUGCCCAGAUGGGAUUAGCUAGGUGGUGGGGUAACGGCUAACCAAGGCGACGAUCCCUAGCUGGUCUGAGAGGAUGCACCGCCACACUGGAACUGAGACACUGUCCAGACUCCUACGGGAGGCAGCAGUGGUGAAUAUUGCACAAUGGGCGCAAGCCUGAUGCAGCCAUGCCGCGUGUAUGAAGAAGGCCUUCGGGUUGUAAAGUACUUUCAGCUGGGAGGCGUUACCCGCAGAAGAAGCACCGGCUAACUCCGGGCCAGCAGCCGCGGUAAUUC